GCCAUCUUGUUGCUUACUGCAGGCUGUGUUCUUACACUGACCAUAUAGAAUCAGAAUAGAAAAGUGAAAGAGUAAACCCACCCCAUGUACACCUCAGUCCAGGCAGGCCCUUUGCCUGGUCUGUAUUGUGAAUGGGGGGACAUGG